CAGCCAACCAACUCCGCCACAACUCCGCCGGCCGCCGCACGCAGGGGCAUCCGUAUCCGCAUCCCUUGCGGUGUGCCUACAAUCUCAAACGCGCGCAAAUCUCCCCUGAAACCCUUUGCCUUCCGAGAACACCGCGUGGCGCGGUGGCGACGGCCAUGGCCAUCGAGUGCCUCGUGCUAGGUACGCGGCGCCCUCCUCUUUCUUCUUCCUCCUCGUCACGCACGGCUCGAUCAGAACCACGCUAACGCUCACCCAGUGGAGGCCCAACAUUGCACAGACUUGGGGCCGUGAUUUGCGCAGCUGUCGCUUCCGGUCCAUUCGGCUCGCCCGCCAAACGGCAGGGCGGCGCGAGACGGCCGCCGCACGCCAACCCGAACCGGCACAAGAUCAGUCGCUCGCCGCUCUCGCGCGUCCGCAGCCAACCCACCCGCCGCGCGGCCAUCCCAUCGGUUGAGCGGUCCGCCGCCACAGCAACAGCCGGCCGACGCACGGAGGCUAAUCCGCAUCCCCCGUGCCGCGCCUCCAAUCUCAGACACACGCUUUCAUCUCCACUUUGACCUCCCAAAACCCCCGCGCGGCGCGGCGGCGGCGGGUGGCCAUGGCCAUCGAGUGCCUCGUGCUAGGGGCGGGGCAGGAGGUGGGGAAGAGCUGCGUGGUGGCGGCCAUCGGUGGGAGGCGCGUCAUGUUCGACUGCGGCAUGCACAUGGGAUACCACGACCGCCGCCGCUACCCGGACUUCUCGCGGGUCCUCACCGCCUCCGGGGCACCGUUCUUCACCGCCGCUAUCUCCUGCGUUAUCAUCACACACAUCCAUCUGGAUCAUAUUGGGGCUCUACCACUGAGGUCUGCGGCUACGAUGGCACCAUCUACAUGACGUUAUACCAUUGGACUUGAAGCAGACUGUUCAAGUAGAUAAAGACCUUAUGAUCCGUUCCUAUUAUGCUGGACAUUAAAAUCAUCAUUCCAAACUCAAGGUUCUAGGGGCUGCCAUGAUUUAUGCAAAAGUUGGAGAUGCUGCUAUGGUCUACACUGUAGAUUACAAUAUGACACCAGAUAGACAUCUUGGAGCAGCGCAAAUUGACCGUCUGAUGUUGGAUCUCUUGAUAACAGAAUCCACAUAUGCUAAAACUAUUCGUGACUCUAAGCAUGCCCGAGAGAGGGAGUUUUUAAAAGCAGUAUAAACCUGAAUUUCCGUGCUGCCAAUAUAUUUGGUCCCGUUCUGACGGCCCGACGAGUCAUCUACUAAAAAGGACCUUCCCUGCUGUGCGCCCCUCCUGUCCUGACUGAAAAGAAUUCAAAAUACGUAUUUUGUAGAUCUUAGUUGCAUGUGUAACAACUUUGCUAUUCCAAUGAUAGACCAAUCUAUUUUAGAAUAAAUAUUUUAUGCUGAUGGCUGGGAGUUCACAUGCUUAUAGCACAAUAUAGCCAGGAAGUUAAUAUUCACCAGA